rnacentral:lncRNA from 1 species
CCUGGGGAAAGGGAAGAGGGCUUUGUUCCUUCUUUCACAUCUCUAUUACUCUGUGUGUGCUGCUAUGCAGUGAUGCUUGGACACUGCCUCAGUUGCUGUGGGGUGUGUUUUGCCCGUUUCUGACUGGUAGGAGUGCAGGACAGAAGCAAGGCAACGGCACUGAGCUCUGCCCCAAGCUGGAACCAGCCCAGAGGCAGCAGGAAGGUGGAGGAGGAGAUGGAGGAUGAGCAGUGGUCUGCCCAUUACUGUGGGGCUGUGCUCUGCAGCACCCAGCAACGCUCAGAACUGAUGCAUUAAAAACACCUUCAAAAAGCAGCUCUUUAAUGGGAGAGAUGCGCUUGCCGAGAGCUGGCUGCUUUCAGAAACUGCGGUGAGCUUCAAUGCAACAGCACAGCGUGAUUGAAGGAGGGGGAGCAGUGACGAUGGGAUUAGGUA